CACAGGCCCGGUGAAAUUGCACUACGAGUAAAGAUGCUCGUUACGCGCGGCAGGACGGAAAGACCCCGGGACCUUUACUAUAGUUUGGUAUUGGUGUUCGGUGUGGCUUGUGUAGGAUAGGUGGGAGACUGUGAAGCGGGCACGCCAGUGUUCGUGGAGUCGCCGUUGAAAUACCACUCUGGUCGAAUUGGAUGUCUAACCUCGGUCCGUGAUCCGGAUCAGGAACAGUGUCAGGUGGGUAGUUUAACUGGGGCGGU
rnacentral:rRNA from 1 species